rnacentral:misc_RNA from 1 species
CUAUAAAUUAGUACAAUACACUUCUCAAAUGUAUACCCAUCAUCAUACACUAUAUAAGAUUAGGUAAAAACAAAUAAGACUAGUAUUAUAAUAUAAGGGCUGCGGGCUUACAAUUUUUGUUUAGCCGCUUCAACCCCUAAAAGCUUCACAACUUAGCACACCAAACCCACCAAGCAUAACCUCAAAAAUAACCCAUAUUCACUCUCUUUUUAGUCCGUUCCCCUGAUGCCCAAAUACCCAUGUCAAAAUAAGCUGCUGCUGCUUUAAAAAACAAUUGAACCAAAAAGGGCAAUAAAUGGAUAUAGAUUAUGACGGGAAUUUUUCUUUUUGGGAUUUGGUUAAAAUUAAAUUAAUUGAAAUCAGACUCUGAAAUUCUUUCCGGUGAACGUUUGACCAAACUGCCAGUGGGCUGGGACUAUGUUCCAUGAAGUGGAAGUGCGUCUAUCACUGCCCGUCACCCUGAAGGAGAGUGACUGACCAACAAGAACAGCAUUUGACUGCCAGUUUUGACCCC